UCAUUUUACCCAUCCGCUGCCCCUAGAUCCUGUUGAACCUUCUCAUAUCCUAACAAAUCCUAGUUUCCGCCAAGAUUGUCUCUGAAUCCAAUCUAUUCAUGGAUUCAUACAUUUCUUUUCUUACCUUUUUGGGGUUAUAUUUUUGUUACUUGCAUAAAUAUGGUAUUACUUAGUACUUGCCCCUAUUUUAGCAAGAACAAAUCUCCCAAAUCAAGAUAGAUUGGACAUGCUCAAUCACAUUUGGAGGAUAUUUUGUUUAUAUACGUCUAUGGCAAGAUUAUACGAGUCUGAUUACAUGUGAUCUUCAGCAAAACUAUGAUUCCGAUCAAACUAUGAUUUGCCCAGUAUUCUCUUAAAUUGAUCUUGUGAUCUUGCAUGUUUCUCUUCCUGAUUUAUGUUCGAUUGACUGUAUUUCCUUAUUUUGUUAGUUGAUUUUUACUACUAUAUAAACCCCUCCCCUAAUCCCCUUUAACAGAACAGUCAUUGAAAUAGUUACUAUUAUGUUCUCUCCCUCAUUCAUUCUACUUUUAUGAAAUUUAAGACCUUGUAUGGUUGAAAGCCAAGGCCAUCAGAAUACGAUUGUUGCUCCUUUUUCAAUAUGAGUGUUGCUUGGGGUUAUUUAGCCCUUGGGAACUCUGACGCACUGAGAUUUUGGGAGCCUUGAUGUUCACUCCUUAAUAUCGGUAAUAGAGUCUAUUGGACUUAGUUUUCUUCUUUGAUAAUUUUGCAACUGAUGAGUACCUUGACUCUUGUAAUUCUAUUUUUCUUUAAUUGUGACCAUCUUCUAAAUAUCUAUGUUUGUUUGAUUUUUUUAAACCAAUAUGACUUAAAUGUGGUGUUACCUUUGUUUGCAAUCCUAUCCGUUUUGAAGUUAGUCUAUGGUUCUGCAUUUUCUAGCAUCUUAAACUGCCUAAAUCCUAGAUUUAGACAUUUGAUUUCUAUGUGUAACUUGGGCGAUCUUGAACUUGCUUAUUCUAUUAUAUUAAUGCAUACAUGAGUUUACUAUAUUUUUUGCUCGCCUAUAUUCAUGCCUUGCUUUGAAUUCUUGUAUUAAAACUCCAAGAUUCUAAUUCAUGCCCAAAGUUUGUCCGAUUGUACUUCUCAACACUAAUCCAUUCAUGCAUAACUUACUACUUUCUCACUUUUUUAAAAUGAUCAUGUCUAUAUGGAUUGUGAACUCUUUAGAAAAACACGCUACUCUGCAAUUUGUGAACCCCAAUCCUUACUACAGUUGCAUGUUUAACUAUCAUCUUGUUCUAUAGACCCAUGCCUUCUAGUGCUAGGUUUGCUCGAGUUCAAUGCCUAUGUAACCUUUGAUGUUCAUAAAUGAACCUGCUAUAUGUGAUCAGUUUGAGCUAAGCACUUGCUUACACAUUAUUUGUGGUGCUGAGUUUGUGAUACUGUUGACCCUGAGUUUCUUUAAUAAGUGUACUUAUUAACACUCCUAUAUUCCUUAACUUCGCCUAAAAUUAUUAGUUAUGUCAUGCCUUUCAUUCUUGUGUUACUCUUGGGAAGACUAUUGAGGUAUUUGUCCCAAGAGGUGUAUCCUGAGCAUAGCAUUGUCACUUGCAAAUCUUCCUAGAAGAAAUUCAUGUCCUUGAUUGCCUUGAACUCUCAUGCUUAGAUCCUUUGUUUUAUGGAUUCUUGUUUGCCAUAUUCCUGCAACUUAUCAUGUGUAUCUUAUGGAAAAUUUUUGUUUGCUAAUUUGAAAGCCUUAUACACAUGCUUAUUUUAUGUGAUUAUGAAGUCCAUGUUCCUGUGUGCUCUUUUUCUUCAUAGGCAUCAUCCUUAGUAUGACACUUAGAAAAUCUUCAUGCUGAUGAAUUUGAUAACUGGAACCCCUGUGCAUGUGCCCUUUGCUGAACUAUGAGUCAACUGAAUGAUAUAUUUGACUUUAUGUCCCCCAUUCCUAUUGUUAUUGGGUCCUAUCUUCAUGUUUGGGUCCUGUCUUAUUGGUCCAUGUGUGAUAUUGGAGUUAAGCAUUGGUUAGACGUGCUUGUGAGACUGGUAUUGGGCCUAUUGGAUAUGCAAGGGUAAGACCAGUGAAGGUCCUGAAGGCACUGCUGGAUGAUUUUGUAAUUGAGCUGGACAUGUAAUUUUUGUAUUUGGCCGAAAAUUACCCUAUUAAAUCUAUAAUCAUUUUAUUAUUCAAUUUUGGGCCUGUAAUAAUCCAUAACAAUGAAUGAUGGGGUAUUUAAUGGAAAAGGGUUUGGAACGCUUUAUGUUUCGGAUGAAUGGGUAGAUAAUAUGCUUAUAGGGUCUACAUGCUUGUUUGCUUGCUUUUUUUAUGUGCUUGUUUCUAUUCUCUAAUAGAGAUUAUCCCUAUAGGAAUUCCAACACAUCUCCUACUCAACUUGUCUAAUGCCCACACAUUAGUAGAAGCAUGCGUUGUUGGUGCUUUACUUGUUCGCAUAUUUGAUUUUAUGCAUAGUUAGAUAACACGCCUAUAGGAAUCAAGCAUCAGUAACUAUUCGCUCAAUUUGUAGAGCAUAUGUGUGCUUAUUAGAUAGCAUGCCUAUAGGAUCAUAUUGAUUUAUGCUUUUCUAAUACUCAUCUAGAUGCUAUGUAGAUGCCAUGUCUGUAGGGCUUUAAUUGAUUAAGUAAUUGACUACUUCUGUUGUAUUAUAUGUUGUAUUAUAACUCUGCACACCUAGAUAACAUGCCUAUAGGAAUAAGCACAAUAAAGAUGUGUUCAAAACCCAACUCUAUAUAGGCGAAAUUGGGAAGCCUACUUUCACGAUCAUGGAAUCUCUCCCUUAGCCUCAAAAAAGCCCCGAAGGUCCACCGUUGCGGCUUGAGGCUUCGACCUCAAAGAUUAUUCACACUCGGCUUCGAUGCAACAUGAGUCGAUGAGUAUCAAGGGUAAGCGAGAAGUUCCCUAGGAACUUAGUCUGAACUAACAUCACCUGCAGAAACUGUACAAGUAUGCACCUUGUUACUAGGUAGUUGUGCUAGCUAUCUUACUUUG
rnacentral:lncRNA from 1 species